CUUGUGAGAAAGGAAAAGCAUUUUGUUAAAAGCAAAAUGUAGUUUUUUUGUCAUAGAUACGACAGCUAUCUUUAGUAAAACUACUAGUUUUAUGGAUAGUAAUUAAAUUAAUAGACCGGAAUAGUUAUUCUUCUUUGGCUAUUAAAAGGGUUAAUUUAAUUUUUUGAAAGCUUAGGCUAUAAGCGAUUUACUCGCAUAAACUUCCAUACAAAAUACAGAUGAUGACUAUUUUUGUAUGACAGUCUUGGCCAAAACACGUGCCAGCAGCCGCGGCAACACGGGAUUAGACGAGUGUUAUUCAUCUUUAAUAGGUUUAAAGGGUACCUAGACGGCAGAUUUAGCCCCCAUUGAGUUGGAACGGAACAUUUCUGCUAGAGUUUUAUGUGAGAGGGAUUUAGUACUAACAGAGUAGAGAUGAAAUUUUUUGAUACUGUAGGGCACUGAUAACGGCGAAGGCAGACCUUUAUGUAAAAACUGACGUUGAGGGACGAAGGCUUGGGUAACAAACAGGAUUAGGUACCCUAAUAGUCCAGGCAGAGACUGAUGAGUGCCAUAGAUUAGAUAAUUAUUGGUCUAUAAAUGAAAGUGAAAGCAUUCCACCUUAAGAGUAAUGCGGCAACGCAGGAACUGAAAUCAUUAGACCGUUUCUGAUACCAGUAGUGAAGUAUGUUGUUCAAUUCGAUAAUCCACGAAAAAUCUUACCACAAUUUGAAUAUUGUAGCAAUUAUAGGAAAGUCUUUAUUUAAUUAAAAGAAUGUAAGUGCUAUUUAUACAGGUGUUGCAUGGCUGUUUUUAGUUGGUGUCGUGAGAUGUAGGUUAACUCCUAUGUAAUCAACGUGAACCCUUACUCUAUUUUAAUAAUUUAGACAUAGAGUCGAUGUCUGAUACGUCGGACAAACAGUAGG
rnacentral:rRNA from 1 species